ACGAGGAUUUUCAUUGGGUUAAAAGGAACAACUGGUUCCCGCUCGACCAAUAGAGAUGCGCUUUACGUCGCCGUCACUUGGUUGGCAGGUGUAAACAACAUGGCGGGUGCGAGAUCGGCCCAUCCUCGCUGGUUGCUGGAUUGUAAAGGUGAAAUUGUACAGACAGAUGAGUGGAAGAUCUUGACCCAGGAGCUCAACCAGGCUGUCCAGCAGCAACUAAAUGAAAGCCAUGUGUCAAAGUUCACGGACCUGUCCGAUCCAGAGAAGCAACUGUUUCUAGAGAGGGCUGCCAAGGCCAUACAAGAAGGUGAUGCCUUUCAGAGCUUUAACCAGGCAGCAUCCAAGACACUUGACAAGCAUCUCAGUAACCAUGCCAACCAGCAGCUGCUCAACUCAUCGCCCUUGGAGAGCAAGUCGGAGCUAGUCCUGGAGCAGGCUCGUGAGGGUGCCCUGGGGCUGCUCAAGAGCUGGCCAGGGAACAAGGCCAAGUUUCGACGGUUCUUCAACCAGGCAUUGCCGGACCGCCUCCGGCAGAUCGCUUGGCGGCUCUACCUCAGAAGUCCAAAGGUGAGAUCGUUGUAUUUGGAGCAACUCAAGGCUGACCCCAGCAGCGUGAUGUCCAUUCUUGACCUGGAGGUCGUCCAGACCUGCGAAGCUCUCCUUACGCGGGAACCAACUUUCCAGGAUCUCUCAAAUAACACAGAUAUACUCCAUGCAAUGAAGGCCAUCUUGUCCUACCACCACGUCUGCAAGAAGACGAAGACUAGCCUGAUUGACACGGACUACAUGCUGGUAAUUCCGUUCCUCCUCAAUGUGUUAUCAACUACGCGGCCUGAGCAGCUCGUGCUGGAGAGCACCUUGGCCCUACUGAUAGAGGAGUAUGCUACAUUUAUGUCCAGCCGGCCAAUUUUUAUGCGGGAAUCCUACGUCAAAGAUUUUCAGGGGAGCAUGGAGGCAUUUGCAAAGCAGAUCGCUGGGAUGCUGCAAGAAAAAGACGAGGCGUUGGCAGAGCACUUUCACCAAGUGUUCAGUGGUCACUUUGCAGGGCCGUCUGCACUCACACAAGGCAUCAAGACUUUGGUCAGGCCAAUGGUCAGGUGUCUCUUUGUGGGUUACUUAAGUCUGGAUGCCGUCAUGUAUGUAUGGGACCAGUACAUUAUCGGCUUGGAUGUACCAGACUAUGACAUCGUUCCUUGCAUGACAGUCAGUGUCUUAAUGUUGCAAAGGAAAUACUUGCUGCAGUGCGAGAGUUUGCCCGAGAUGGAGUUCAUACUUAAGAGGAAUGCCGUCAAACUGACUAAAGAUGAACUUAUGUAUGAGAUUGGCCAUCAUUUCUACCAGGUUCUACAUCAUCAGCUGAACAGUGGGCAAGACGGCACACCAGUACUGGACCCAACACAAGUGGCUAUGCCUUGGGAGUAUUGGUACUACGAGAUGCUGCCACAGCGAACCAAAGCGGAAGACAGAAGACGAGAGAGGAAUAUCAGGAAAGACCAGAGACAGAGAGAGAAGGAUGCAGCAAGAGAUGAGGAGAUGAGGGAGAAGUUGCGGAAGGAGGAAGAAGAGAUGGAAGAGAUCCAAAAUUCAGAGAGGAUGGCCAGAUUUGACCAGCAGAGGCUGCGAGAUCUCCUUGAGCAGGAAAAACGAAAAAGAGCAAAGGCUGAGAGGGAAGCUCAGGCAGAAAUCUCUCAGCUGAAACUAGAAAUUGCUAGACUGAAGCAAGUCAAGCCAGCACUGUUGAUGCCCACACUGACCCCCCAGGAAUGUGCCAGACCCCCAGAAAUGCCUGCUUCAGGGCCAGAAAGUAAAAUUCUGCCUACGCGACAGUUGGAAGAUCCCCAUGCAGCCAGUUCCAUCAUGGCUGACAUACUGAAGGACUUUGUGGACGGUGCAAGGAGACUGCAAGGCCAUGGUUCGGCAGCAAAGGCAACUGCGCCGGGUACCAGUUCACAGUAGACCGCAAGCUUACUAUGGCAGCCCCUAACGACAUGUGCCAGGAACGGUAUACCUGGGGAGACGGGAAGACAGGCCCCAGUCUCUUCAACACCAUUCUCACUCUGGAUGACAUUGUGGGAGGUGGGGAACCCAACCUGUCUGAUGUUCAACUAGCCAAGCCUGACAAUAGCCCUACCUGCCAACGCUCUCGCCCACGUCCUCCUCGGCUGUGACAGCCAAGAUGGUGGCCACGCCCAGCUCCUCAAAGCGCUCCACCAAUCGCCUGGC
rnacentral:misc_RNA from 1 species